rnacentral:lncRNA from 1 species
AUAUACCACAGUGAGGAACCCUAUGAAAUCCCCUGUUCUGCUGGAAACCCUGCUGUGGAUCAACUGGCUUUCCUCCAGAACACUAGAGACUGCAAAAAUUUUCGGGUUCCAUAGGAUCCAUACUCUACCCUUUUCACCAGAGACAUAGUUUGUGAGUAUCCCCCCCCCCAGCCUGGAGCUAGCAGAUUAGCAAUUCUGCUAGCAUGGGCUUGUUUGACCUUGGUUUCUACUAAUCCUACUAGGUUAAUAUUGUUUUUCCUAAUAUAUUCCCUAAUCUCUUUUUGCUUAUACCUUUUAUUUACAUCCCUAAUAUUCCAUAUUAACCACUUCAUUGGUAAGAUGUUGAUGGUGGUUCCUCUACCUCCAUAGGAGAACCUUCUUUACUAACAGAAACUGCUGCAAAUCUGUUACUCACAGUGAUGGGGGAUAAGGGUGGGAAGUUGGAGAUAUUGAGUGCUGGGCUCUGGACCUGCUUCCCUUUAUCACUGCCCUUAUAAACUUUGUGAUUCUGUACUAUUCUGGCUUCAUUAACAGUAGGUUCAGCAUGUUGGGUUACAGGUUGCUGUUGUACUGGCCUAGCAGGGCCGUUGGUUCUCCAUUCCUGCACCACCUUUGGCUUCCAUACUUGUGUAGUCUGUCUUGGGUUCUGCUUUUGCUGAAUUGCACAAUUGUGUCCUAUUGUUUGGCAUUUC